UUAAGCGACUAAGCGUACACGGUGGAUGCCCUGGCAGUCAGAGGCGAUGAAGGACGUGCUAAUCUGCGAUAAGCGUCGGUAAGGUGAUAUGAACCGUUAUAACCGGCGAUUUCCGAAUGGGGAAACCCAGUGUGAUUCGUCACACUAUCAUUAACUGAAUCCAUAGGUUAAUGAGGCGAACCGGGGGAACUGAAACAUCUAAGUACCCCGAGGAAAAGAAAUCAACCGAGAUUCCCCCAGUAGCGGCGAGCGAACGGGGAGCAGCCCAGAGCCUGAAUCAGUGUGUGUGUUAGUGGAAGCGUCUGGAAAGGCGCGCGAUACAGGGUGACAGCCCCGUACACAAAAAUGCACAUGCUGUGAGCUCGAUGAGUAGGGCGGGACACGUGGUAUCCUGUCUGAAUAUGGGGGGACCAUCCUCCAAGGCUAAAUACUCCUGACUGACCGAUAGUGAACCAGUACCGUGAGGGAAAGGCGAAAAGAACCCCGGCGAGGGGAGUGAAAAAGAACCUGAAACCGUGUACGUACAAGCAGUGGGAGCACGCUUAGGCGUGUGACUGCGUACCUUUUGUAUAAUGGGUCAGCGACUUAUAUUCUGUAGCAAGGUUAACCGAAUAGGGGAGCCGAAGGGAAACCGAGUCUUAACUGGGCGUUAAGUUGCAGGGUAUAGACCCGAAACCCGGUGAUCUAGCCAUGGGCAGGUUGAAGGUUGGGUAACACUAACUGGAGGACCGAACCGACUAAUGUUGAAAAAUUAGCGGAUGACUUGUGGCUGGGGGUGAAAGGCCAAUCAAACCGGGAGAUAGCUGGUUCUCCCCGAAAGCUAUUUAGGUAGCGCCUCGUGAAUUCAUCUCCGGGGGUAGAGCACUGUUUCGGCAAGGGGGUCAUCCCGACUUACCAACCCGAUGCAAACUGCGAAUACCGGAGAAUGUUAUCACGGGAGACACACGGCGGGUGCUAACGUCCGUCGUGAAGAGGGAAACAACCCAGACCGCCAGCUAAGGUCCCAAAGUCAUGGUUAAGUGGGAAACGAUGUGGGAAGGCCCAGACAGCCAGGAUGUUGGCUUAGAAGCAGCCAUCAUUUAAAGAAAGCGUAAUAGCUCACUGGUCGAGUCGGCCUGCGCGGAAGAUGUAACGGGGCUAAACCAUGCACCGAAGCUGCGGCAGCGACGCUUAUGCGUUGUUGGGUAGGGGAGCGUUCUGUAAGCCUGCGAAGGUGUGCUGUGAGGCAUGCUGGAGGUAUCAGAAGUGCGAAUGCUGACAUAAGUAACGAUAAAGCGGGUGAAAAGCCCGCUCGCCGGAAGACCAAGGGUUCCUGUCCAACGUUAAUCGGGGCAGGGUGAGUCGACCCCUAAGGCGAGGCCGAAAGGCGUAGUCGAUGGGAAACAGGUUAAUAUUCCUGUACUUGGUGUUACUGCGAAGGGGGGACGGAGAAGGCUAUGUUGGCCGGGCGACGGUUGUCCCGGUUUAAGCGUGUAGGCUGGUUUUCCAGGCAAAUCCGGAAAACUAAGGCUGAGGCGUGAUGACGAGGCACUACGGUGCUGAAGCAACAAAUGCCCUGCUUCCAGGAAAAGCCUCUAAGCAUCAGGUAACAUCAAAUCGUACCCCAAACCGACACAGGUGGUCAGGUAGAGAAUACCAAGGCGCUUGAGAGAACUCGGGUGAAGGAACUAGGCAAAAUGGUGCCGUAACUUCGGGAGAAGGCACGCUGAUAUGUAGGUGAAGUCCCUCGCGGAUGGAGCUGAAAUCAGUCGAAGAUACCAGCUGGCUGCAACUGUUUAUUAAAAACACAGCACUGUGCAAACACGAAAGUGGACGUAUACGGUGUGACGCCUGCCCGGUGCCGGAAGGUUAAUUGAUGGGGUCAGCGCAAGCGAAGCUCUUGAUCGAAGCCCCGGUAAACGGCGGCCGUAACUAUAACGGUCCUAAGGUAGCGAAAUUCCUUGUCGGGUAAGUUCCGACCUGCACGAAUGGCGUAAUGAUGGCCAGGCUGUCUCCACCCGAGACUCAGUGAAAUUGAACUCGCUGUGAAGAUGCAGUGUACCCGCGGCAAGACGGAAAGACCCCGUGAACCUUUACUAUAGCUUGACACUGAACAUUGAGCCUUGAUGUGUAGGAUAGGUGGGAGGCUUUGAAGUGUGGACGCCAGUCUGCAUGGAGCCGGCCUUGAAAUACCACCCUUUAAUGUUUGAUGUUCUAACGUUGACCCGUAAUCCGGGUUGCGGACAGUGUCUGGUGGGUAGUUUGACUGGGGCGGUCUCCUCCUAAAGAGUAACGGAGGAGCACGAAGGUUGGCUAAUCCUGGUCGGACAUCAGGAGGUUAGUGCAAUGGCAUAAGCCAGCUUGACUGCGAGCGUGACGGCGCGAGCAGGUGCGAAAGCAGGUCAUAGUGAUCCGGUGGUUCUGAAUGGAAGGGCCAUCGCUCAACGGAUAAAAGGUACUCCGGGGAUAACAGGCUGAUACCGCCCAAGAGUUCAUAUCGACGGCGGUGUUUGGCACCUCGAUGUCGGCUCAUCACAUCCUGGGGCUGAAGUAGGUCCCAAGGGUAUGGCUGUUCGCCAUUUAAAGUGGUACGCGAGCUGGGUUUAGAACGUCGUGAGACAGUUCGGUCCCUAUCUGCCGUGGGCGCUGGAGAACUGAGGGGGGCUGCUCCUAGUACGAGAGGACCGGAGUGGACGCAUCACUGGUGUUCGGGUUGUCAUGCCAAUGGCACUGCCCGGUAGCUAAAUGCGGAAGAGAUAAGUGCUGAAAGCAUCUAAGCACGAAACUUGCCCCGAGAUGAGUUCUCCCUGAC
rnacentral:rRNA from 1 species